rnacentral:rRNA from 1 species
GACGAACGCUGGCGGCGUGCUUAACACAUGCAAGUCGAACGGAAAGGCCCUGCUUUUGUGGCGUGCUCGAGUGGCGAACGGGUGAGUAACACGUGAGUAACCUGCCCUUGACUUUGGGAUAACUUCAGGAAACUGGGGCUAAUACCGGAUAGGAGCUCCUGCUGCAUGGUGGGGGUUGGAGAGUUUCGGCGGUUGGGGAUGGACUCGCGGCUUAUCAGCUUGUUGGUGGGGUAGUGGCUUACCAAGGCUUUGACGGGUAGCCGGCCUGAGAGGGUGACCGGCCACAUUGGGACUGAGAUACGGCCCAGACUCCUACGGGAGGCAGCAGUGGGGAAUAUUGCACAAUGGGCGGAAGCCUGAUGCAGCAACGCCGCGUGCGGGAUGACGGCCUUCGGGUGGUAAACCGCUUUCGCCUGUGACGAAGCGUGAGUGACGGUAAUGGGUAAAGAAGCACCGGCUAACUACGUG